rnacentral:lncRNA from 13 species
CCUUAAAGUGAAGACAGAGUCAGAGUCAAUGGCACGGAAAAGCAAGGAGGCCAAUCUUGUUACUCUUNNNNNNNNNNNNNNNNNNNNNNNNNNNNNNNNNNNNNNNNNNNNNNNNNNNNNNNNNNNNNNNNCAUAACUGAUGAUCAGAAAGAUCCUAGUUGAUCCCAUAACUGAUGAUCAGAACGAUCCUAGUGGACCCCAUAACUGAUGAUCAGAACGAUCCUAGUGGCCAGAGACUACACUGUAUAGUACUACCGUUUGCAUGCCCAGUCUGUUUGAAGUGCAGAUGGAUCUCUUAGGCAAAUAUGUUGUGGCUUGCUUUCAUAGUUUUAUAUGGAACUCAAUAAGGAAUGAUGAGAUUGUACUACAGUAUGUAAAUAUUUGUGUAUGGACAUCUGCUAGUAAGUACUGUACGUGAUGCAACUAUUUUAGUAGCAAUGUGCUAUGCUAGAGGGUUCUAUGGGAAUUCCAGCUACCAAGUUCGAUCCAUCUUCAGGUAUUCCAGCUACCAAGUUCGAUCCAUCUUCAGGUAUUCCAGCUACCAAGUUAGAUCCAUCUUCAGGUAUUCCAGCUACCAAGUUCGAUCCAUCUNNNNNNNNNNCCCCUCCCCCUCUGUAAUGCUGUCUGGCACAGGGCCUGAUUCCAUCCACAUCAACAGUGCGUCGUCAGGGUGGUGUCCGGUCAACACUUCCUGCUACACCACAUUAACAGCCACCACUGAUCCCAGACCAGUCACAGAGCAAACCCCCAUGUAGCCAAGCAAGCUCAAAGGAGCUACUCUGGUACCAGACAUCAGCUAUAAAUCAACCCAGCCCCCAUACAUUGUAGCGCGAGGCAUAUAGGAUACGUUAGACUCUAAUAUAACCUAUUGUAUGAUUAUUUUACACAAAUAAAGUAUUGCACACACACAUUUUUCUACAACCAUUUCGUUUUCUUCAACUGAUCCCUACCAGCUUUUCUCUAAAUAUCUACUCUGAACCAUAGAAACACAGAAAUGAUUGCUAGAAACAUAUCUUCAUAGCAUUUCAAUAACAAAUAUAUGUCUGUGGUUUUGGAUCAUUUAAAAUCUAAAUGUUAUGAUUCCAACUGGCCUAUUCAAGUUGUUUCUGAUAGUACGUACCAAUCCUUUGUCACGUCAUACAGUACCAGGGACAAUAUGGUCAAUAACUCAAGGCAGUUAACAGUUGAACUGAGGUCCAAAAACAAAGCAGAUUAGAUCCUUACUUAUGAGCUACUGUAACAUGUUCCCUCUACUACUCCUGUAACUCAAGCAGAUAGAUCUUAGCCAAUAGGAAGCAAGGACUUAGCCCGGAUAGAAGUACACACUCGGUUUGAUUUGAGUAACAUUUCAAUCCCUAAAGUCAAAUAUACACCAUGUUACACGUGAAUAGUAUUACAAUUACAGUGAAAACGAGGAUGUAGCUAAAGUACUUGUAGUAUGUUGCAAAAUACAGCAAGUUUUUUCAGGCUGCCUGCACUCAAUUUUCAUCAAAUGUCAAUGGAGGAGGAAUGGCACCGACUUCCACCAUACGGGAGAUCUAGAACUCGUACUCGAAACGACAGCCCUUCUUUCUGCUUCUGUGGUGAGUGACAUCAGCUUCUAAAAGAAGGUGUCAAACCCUCCCAAAGUCACAGUCUGAGGUCAUUGUGGGAGAUCCAAGACUUGUGCUAGGUUACACAGAGCGAGCUGAAUUACAUUGUUAGCUUGGUUGAACCAGGCUAGAACAUCUUUAACUAUCUACAGAGCAAAGGCUCAAAACGCAGGCAGCCUGUCACCCGUAGAGAGGUCGCCACCCAGUGGACGGAGGAGUGUAUCACUUCUAAAAAGGGAACAUAAACUGUUGGUCACUCAGGCACUUGAUUCUAACCGUAUGCAUAGCAACACAAUGCAACGCCGAGCCACUAAGUCAGCCAGCAUCCCUU